CAACUCUCUUUCUGGGCAAAGGUGCAGCACUGCAUCUAACUGAAGAAACCAGAUCCAGCCAGGGGAAGGGUCAGGCCAAAGGAAAAACACACUUCCAGACGCCGGCUCUGCUGAAGACCAGCAAAGCUCGAGAAUUGAGUCUGACUGGAAGAAAAAGUUUUAAAACUAACUCCUGUUUGGGUAAGGAGGUCCCAAGGCACCCAUUUACUCCACAACCACCAGUCUGAUUCCUGAGGGGUCUGAGGUUACUUACAGGUAUAAGCAAAGGUGGUCUUCUGCUUUGCUUUGACAGUAGUCAACUGUGGGCUUGACUGGACAAGAUCAAGACAGAACCUCUAAAGAGGUUCAAAGCGCCUGAUCCUAAAUUUAUACAACCUAGUCAGAGCCCAGUGCAAAGGCCCUCCUACUUAUGGUUCAAGCUCAGGGGUAGGAUCACUCACGCAAUGUGACUAACCCACCAACUUCUCACGGUGCCCCAAGUUCAACAUUAAGGCUGUGCUGCUGCUUCCGGAAGGUCUCAGGAAACUGUAGUUAUGUGAGAUGACAGCAUGAACACCUUAAAUGAAAGAGCUGGACCAAAUGAUCUGAAACUUCUUGACUCUCUAAAACGCUGAUUCUAUACUCAGUACAACUGAGUGCGAGGCAGAGAGCAGGGCCCAGAGGACUGGCAGACUGGGCACCAAGGCCUCACCAUGUCCAGCAGGGCCAGGUGGCUGGAGAGGGAAACAUACACAAUACAGUGUUGGCAGAGAAAACUCCAGAUAUAAGCGGUACAUCUAUUGUGUACGUUUAUUUGCAAUGCAUGAAAUUCAUGCAGUGUACAAACACCUGUAUUUAUGGAGAUAAAACACUAGAAGUAUAUAUUUCGUAACUUUGAUGGUGAUUAUCUUAGAAUGGCAGGAUUCCGGUGACAUUUUUUCCCUUUGUUUUCUGUUUCCACAAUGCAUACUGUUGGCAGAGACCGGGCAGGGACCAGGGGUCUCUCAGGAACCUACACAUCAAGUGAGGAGCCACUGUAUUUGUUCCAGAUCUUCAUUACAAGGAAAAUUUUAUGGCAAAUGGACUGAGAAGAUAGAGACAGUGACUCCCUCCAGAGUGAAGGGCAGGUGUGCUCACAGGAUUGGAAGGCAGAGACAUCUCUCUGUAGAGUCAAGAGCAGCCAGGCUUACCGUCCACUCGAAAUGACUCAGGUACCAGAAAUUCAAGGAUCCUCUCCUGGGACAGGAGCCACUGGCUGUACAGGGCUGAUGGCCUCCUGCACGUCAUCCUGGGGAGACUGGGUUUUCUAGAACUGGUGCCAAAAACGCUGAUACCAUGACAACUGUUACUACCAUGAGUAAUAAACGUCCUUUGUCUCU